UGCCAGCCGCCGCGGUAAUACGAAGGGUGCUAGCGUUGUUCGGAAUUACUGGGCGUAAAGAGCAUGUAGGCGGAUGAAUUAGUCAGAGGUGAAAGCCCCGAGCUCGACUUGGGAACUGCCUUUGAUACUGUUUAUCUAGAGUGCGAGAGGGGAAGAUGGAAUGGCCAGUGGAGCAGUGAAAUGCAUUGAGAUUGGCUGGAACACCAGAGGCGAAGGCGAUCUUCUGGCUCGCAACUGACACUGAGGCGCGAAAGCGUGGGGAGCAAACAGGAUUAGAUA
rnacentral:rRNA from 1 species